rnacentral:ncRNA from 1 species
AUUGUUUGCACCGAACCUUUGCCAAAAGAUUGUGUGCCAAGAAUUGUCGCACGGCGAUGAUCCUGCAAAGCACCGGCAACAAUUUCGGAAGCACUGGCCGAACCGCCAUUAAUGAGCACAAUCAAAGGUUUGCCGUUGGAAAUAUCGCCGGGUUUGGCAUCAAACCGCAUAACUUCCGCCUGAUCGCGCCCGCGCGUUGAAACAAUUUCCCCUUUGUCAAGGAACGCAUCCGACACACUCACAGCCUGAUCGAGCAAGCCCCCCGGAUUCAAAC